rnacentral:rRNA from 1 species
CAGCCGCCGCGGGAAUACGGAGGGUGCAAGCGUUAAUCGGAAUUACUGGGCGUAAAGCGCACGCAGGCGGUCUGACAAGUCAGAUGUGAAAUCCCCGGGCUUAACCUGGGAACUGCAUUUGAAACUGUCAGGCUGGAGUCUUGUAGAGGGGGGUAGAAUUCCAGGUGUAGCGGUGAAAUGCGUAGAGAUCUGGAGGAAUACCGGUGGCGAAGGCGGCCCCCUGGACAAAGACUGACGCUCAGGUGCGAAAGCGUGGGGAGCAAACAGGAUUAGAUACCCCGGUAGUCCCUGUCUCUUAUAA